rnacentral:miRNA from 1 species
GCUGACACAUCCAUGCCAAUCUCUGGCAGACCCUCCCUCCCAGACCCUCCCACCUCCUGGACAGCAUCCAUGUUGAAGCUGUCUUCAACAUGGAUGCUGUCCAGGAAGUAGGAGGGUCUGGGAGGGAGGGUCUGCUGGAGAUUGGCCGGGAUGUGUCAG